rnacentral:pre_miRNA from 1 species
UGGACAGAUUAUUGUAUUCGACUGUAUUCACGGCGUGAAACAGGGGAUUACACUGUUUUUAAACGGAAAGUGAAUCAAUUAACAUAGACUCCU